GAUGGACGCUGGCGGCGUGCCUAAUACAUGCAAGUCGAGCGAACGGACGAGAAGCUUGCUUCUCUGAUGUUAGCGGCGGACGGGUGAGUAACACGUGGAUAACCUACCUAUAAGACUGGGAUAACUUCGGGAAACCGGAGCUAAUACCGGAUAAUAUUUUGAACCGCAUGGUUCAAAAGUAAAAGACGGUCUUGCUGUCACUUAUAGAUGGAUCCGCGCUGCAUUAGCUAGUUGGUAAGGUAACGGCUUACCAAGGCAACGAUGCAUAGCCCACCUGAGAGGGUGAUCGGCCACACUGGAACUGAGACACGGUCCAGACUCCUACGGGAGGCAGCAGUAGGGAAUCUUCCGCAAUGGGCGAAAGCCUGACGGAGCAACGCCGCGUGAGUGAUGAAGGUCUUCGGAUCGUAAAACUCUGUUAUUAGGGAAGAACAUAUGUGUAAGUAACUGUGCACAUCUUGACGGUACCUAAUCAGAAAGCCACGGCUAACUACGUG
rnacentral:rRNA from 1 species